CCUACGGGGUGCAGCAGUGGGGAAUAUUGCACAAUGGGCGCAAGCCUGAUGCAGCCAUGCCGCGUGUAUGAAGAAGGCCCUCGGGUUGUAAAGUACUUUCAGCGGGGAGGAAGGCGAUAAGGUUAAUAACCUUGUCGAUUGACGUUGCCCGCAGAAGAAGCACCGGUUAACUCCGUGCCAGCAGCCGCGGUAAUACGGAGGGUGCAAGCGUUAAUCGGAAUUACUGGGCGUAAAGCGCACGCAGGCGGUCUGUCAAGUCGGAUGUGAAAUCCCCGGGCUCAACCUGGGAACUGCAUUCGAAACUGGCAGGCUAGAGUCUUGUAGAGGGGGGUAGAAUUCCAGGUGUAGCGGUGAAAUGCGUAGAGAUCUGGAGGAAUACCGGUGGCGAAGGCGGCCCCCUGGACAAAGACUGACGCUCAGGUGCGAAAGCGUGGGGAGCAAACAGGAUUAGAUACCCUCGUAGUC
rnacentral:rRNA from 1 species